rnacentral:rRNA from 1 species
GGGUUUAAAGUGUAGCGUAGGCUGGCCCAUAAGUAUCGUAGUGAAAGCCCAGUGGCUCAACUAUGGAACCGCACGGUAAACUGUGGGUCUCGAGGUUGGUAGAGGCGGGUGGAACGAUUGGUGGAGCGGUGGAAUGCGUAGAUAUCAAUCGGAACGCCAAAGGUGAAGACAGCCCGCUAGGCCAUACCUGACGCUGAGGCACGAAAGCGUGGGGAGCAAACAGGAUUAGAUACCCUGGUAGUCCACGCCCUAAACGAUGUGUGCUGAAUCACGGCGGCUCUGACGUCGUCGGGAUUGUAGAGAAAUUGGUAAGCACACCGCCUGGGGAGUACGGUCGCAAGAUUAAAACU